rnacentral:rRNA from 1 species
AUUGAACGCUGGCGGCAGGCUUAACACAUGCAAGUCGAGCGGAGAGAGGUAGCUUGCUACUGAUCUUAGCGGCGGACGGGUGAGUAAUGCUUAGGAAUCUGCCUAUUAGUGGGGGACAACAUUUCGAAAGGAAUGCUAAUACCGCAUACGUCCUACGGGAGAAAGCAGGGGGUCUUCGGACCUUGCGCUAAUAGAUGAGCCUAAGUCGGAUUAGCUAGUUGGUGGGGUAAAGGCCUACCAAGGCGACGAUCUGUAGCGGGUCUGAGAGGAUGAUCCGCCACUCUGGGACUGAGACACGGCCCAGACUCCUACGGGAGGCAGCAGUGGGGAAUAUUGGACAAUGGGCGGAAGCCUGAUCCAGCCAUGCCGCGUGUGUGAAGAAUGCCUUAUGGUUGUAAAGCACUUUAAGCGAGGAGGAGGCUACUUUAGUUAAUACCUAGAGAUAGUGGACGUUACUCGCAGAAUAAGCACCGGCUAACUCUGUGCCAGCCGCCGCGGUAA